ACGAACGCUGGCGGCAUGCCUAACACAUGCAAGUCGAACGAGACCUUCGGGUCUAGUGGCGCACGGGUGCGUAACGCGUGGGAACCUGCCCUUAGGUUCGGAAUAACUCCCCGAAAGGGGUGCUCAUACCGGAUAAUGUCUUCGGACCAAAGAUUUAUCGCCUUUGGAUGGGCCCGCGUUGGAUUAGCUAGUUGGUAGGGUAAAAGCCUACCAAGGCGACGAUCCAUAGCUGGUCUGAGAGGAUGAUCAGCCACACUGGGACUGAGACACGGCCCAGACUCCUACGGGAGGCAGCAGUGGGGAAUAGUGGACAAUGGGCGAAAGCCUGAUCCAGCAAUGCCGCGUGAGUGAUGAAGGCCUUAGGGUUGUAAAGCUCUUUUACCCGGGAUGAUAAUGACAGUACCGGGAGAAUAAGCUCCGGCUAACUCCGUG
rnacentral:rRNA from 1 species